UGUUCAGUCCAAUCCCCACUCUAUAAUUCUCAAAAUAGAAAAAAAGUAAUACGAAAGAGAGAUAGGAGCCUUU
rnacentral:tRNA from 1 species